ACCAGACGCAGCCGUGAAGUGUUGCAGACCUUUAAUGCACCGAUAGCCAUAUACAGACACAGAUAUACCAAGAUCGCCAUACAAAAACGGAAUCUCUACAAUAAAUAUCGAGUAGUGUUCACCUUCUCCAUAAGGUCUGUAUGUACAGGCUGACGUCUAUUGUCAGCACUUUUCAUGAACCACCAAAGCUGAGAGCGGAGACAUGUCUAGAGGCUACACACGGUCACAUCGAGCUACUCUAACGGCCACCGGCAACAUUCAACUGAGAAAAACAACUCAGGUCACACCGAGCUACUUUAACGGCCACCGGCAACAUUCAACUGAGAAAAAAUAACUCAGGUCAGCUGCCUGUUGACACUGUGGGCAGUAAUACGUGGACAUGAUGCGCUACAGAUAUGAGAGUGGUUCGCGUGUAGUAGAAUAAUAGGUACAAUGGACACAGUGCAAAGUUUCGAUGUCUUACCCAACACAAAGAAAAGAGAGCUACCAUAGACAAUAAUCAUCGUCUUACUGUGUCCUUUACCAAGAUCUUUUAUUCUAAGAGCUAGAACAGGAGUAUUUUUUAAAGAAAGAAAAACUGAAAGAAAUACUUACAAAGAUAAAGUCAUUGUAACACUGACAUUUAAGAACAUUUGUGUUAGAGUCAACGUCAACAAUUUUGCACUGUGUCCUGCUAUACCAAUGCUGAAGAGCUACAUCAGGCAUGUUUAUAAUUCUGAUUUAGGAUUUCCAUAUUUUACACGGAUGCUCUCCUCUACUCCUGACUUACUGCAGCCCUAGCACCAUUGGUGAAGUGACGUCCCCAGUUAAUUUUCCGUUCGGCGUUUGUGUCGGCAGUAAGUAGGAACAUGUUCACCAUAAACGGUUCAUCCAUAUGAGGAGUAACUCUUUAAAUCACAUAAAGGUAUAUCUCCAAGAAAUCCAAAUGUUGCUGCGCACAUGAGGGCCACUUUUAAUGAAAAAAACAAACUAUUUGCUAUUGGAAACAAAAUUACAAAUGACGACUUUUGAUGGACGACGGUAUUAGUCCGAAAUAAAUGUUGGAAGUAGAUGACUCUUCCUUCUUCUGAUUAAUAGCCCCCGGCUAGUUGGGCAGUCCUGGCUGUAUUUCACUCUUUACAGCCGAAUAAAUGAAAUCAAAUCAAGAUUUACAAGAAACACUUUGAGCUUUAAGUACAAAGAAGAAACAAUUUCACAGGCCUAGCCUGCUGAACUGUUUUAGCCGUAAGUAGACAUCUUCUUACCUGCCGACAUACAUCCUCACACUAAACAACCCUACCAUAACACAGCAGAGAACAGUACUUGCUAUAUUCUAAAGGCUACGGCUAAUAUUUUGUACAUCCUAAAAUAAGUCAGCUUUCGUCCGGAGAUAUCUAAAGAUGCACCAUCAUUAUUCUGUACAAACAUAAUGUGCAGGAAUUCUUUUAAAAGCAGUCUUUUUUCUAUAUAUUAUGACUAUACAGAAUAACUGCAUUAUAUGACUGAAGUAAAAUCUCUUUCGUAACUUUAACAUGAUGUCAAAUAUCUUCAGUCUAUUUACAAAUAAAAUCGUGACAGUCAAAAUUGGGCUAUCAACAUAAUGUUACAUGACAUACAAUCUCGAAUAGGGUAUAAGGUCUAGGAUAAUCUAUAGUAUCUAAAACAUUUCUCUUUUUAUUAAUUACAGGAGCAUUAACGCAAGAUACUGCUGUACAACUUUAUGGUUACAUUUAGAGCUUUGGUUUGUUCCAUGCUAAAAACUGAAAUGGACAGUAAUGACUAAAACAUCCACGCUCCUCUAAAAUCCAAAUAUUUGCUGAUCUCAAAUAAUUACAUACUCAUUACGAAUAUUUUCAUCAUAGAAAACCGAUUAACAAACACCUGUUAUACAUUGUACAGCAAGAACAGAAUAAGUGCGAUUCCUCUUACUUGCAGUACCUCUCAAACAUCUUUCAUACCAUCUUAAUCUUUAGCUUAUAUUAACUUAUCCAUGCGGGUACACAAGCGACUUAGGAUGGUAAUACUGAAAAUAAACACGUCUUUUCAGCGCACAACGUAGAUCUACUUUUGUAAUGAGCUUGUCGCCUUUUACCAUAAUUUUGCAAUGAAAAAUUUGGAAACCAACGUGAUGCUGGACAAGAGACAUCGAAAUCAUGUACAAACUUCCAGGAACCUUUGACCUACUUCCAGGAACCUUUGACCUACUUCCAGGAACCUUUGACCUACUUCUAGAAGUUCUUUCUAUAUCCAUACAAGGAGUCGUGCCAAAUACGGCAAUAUUAGCCAAGUAGUGAUUUCCUUCUGGUUUUUUCAUGCUUGAGGCAAAUUUUAAAAAAAGUAGCAAAAUUGCUGCUUUUAAGAACGAAUUAAAAAUACACAUCUCCAAUCUUUGUCCAAGCUGGGAGACAUACCAUUUCUGUAUUAAUAUUUCAAACCCCUGUUAAAAGCUCCAAACAGGUCAACGGUGGGUAGAUAAUAUGCAGAAAGAAAUGUUCAUAAGAUCUAUUGGGUACACUUUGCCGAAUAGAUUAAAUCAAAUCAAAGAAUAGAAGUAGGUAUUCUAACAAAUGGGUUCUUUACACAAUUCAAUAAAUCUUUAUAUAAAUGCAUUUAAAAUGAAGAAAAGAUGAAAGAACUUUGCCAGCAAAGUAAUAGAGAUUUUUAAAAAGUUUGAGCUUUGUUCCAACACAAGGCAAACACUCAUCAAGAAUUUUAAGUCGAUCUCGCCGAUCUUGAUCACACGACUGGUUCACUGCGGUGACGUUCCGGAAGUCGGAAGUGACGUCAGGAGGGAAUAAAAUCAUUUACCACUUUUGAUCGCUCCUGACGUCGCUUCCUACUUCUGAAACGUCAGAUUAUUGUUAUUACAACUGCAAUUGAUGAUGAGGAGGAGGAAUGUUUAAAAAUCUGUUAUACCCAGAGGUUGCUUUGAAAUAGUUAAAAGAUAAGUACCAUGUCAUGAAGAUUUAACGAUUAUCGUAAAAAAUUCUGAGAAAAAAAUCAACAAACAUUUUUGUAGCCCACAUUAAAAAUCGACGUUUCUUUCUGAGAAGCUUUUGCACAAAUUUUCACUAGCUUUCAUGCGUAAUCUCUCGAUUUGUUUGGAAAAUAAAUGAGGCAUGCAAACGCUAUCGCCGAUGCUAAUUUCAAGGUCCCAAAUGGAAACUGGAACUUUUCUGAGCCCCUCUGUCCACCAAACACCGUGCGCCGUCCCAUGUGACUAACUACAACCUUUGCUCCGUGAACCCGUUGCCAGGUAAGGUGAUGCAGACACCUCAACACCUGUGGAGUCCAUCCUUGAAGCCCUUCCGUACAUGUAUAAAUGCGUCACGCCAUAUCCAGCACUCAAAACCAACACUCAAAAGUAGCAAAGAAAUUCCACUUGCGAUAACA